UACAGAGGUCCCAAGCGUUGUUCGGAUUCACUGGGCGUAAAGGGUGCGUAGGCGGUCGGGUAAGUCUGAUGUGAAAUCUCCAAGCUCAACUUGGAAAUGGCAUCGGAUACUAUUCGGCUCGAGGAAUGGAGGGGAGACUGGAAUACUUGGUGUAGCAGUGAAAUGCGUAGAUAUCAGGAGGAACACCGGUGGCGAAGGCGGUUCUCUGGGCAUGAUCUGACGCUGAGGAGCGAAAGUGUGGGGAGCGAACAGG
rnacentral:rRNA from 1 species